UAGGGUUUGGUAAGAUAUCAUUAAAAUUUAAAGGGCUAAAUUACAUAAAAUUUUUCUGUCAAAAUCUGAUUUUUUACUUUUUUUCUCUGUUAUUUAAAAGCCUACACUUUGCUCGCUUAUAAAAUAAAAAAUGGUCACAGAGGGGUACGGUAUAAACUGUGAUGACAAAAUGAUCAUUUUGUCCUUAACUAUUUUUGGCAACAAGAGAGAAGACUAAGGGCAUUUUUAGCAUAAAAAAAUAUGUAAUAAUAUUUUAUAAACGGAAUCUUAACGAAUCAUUAACGGCAGGGGGUGAAGUGAAUAUUUUUCAUUUUAUAAGAAGACAAAGUGUAGGUUUUUAAAUGAUAGAGGAGAAAAGUGAAAAAUCAUAUUUUGAUAGGAGACUUUUUUGUAAUUUAGCCUUAAAAUUAUUAAAUUUGAUAGGAU
rnacentral:lncRNA from 1 species